AUACGGAGGGUGCAAGCGUUAAUCGGAAUUACUGGGCGUAAAGCGUUCGUAGGCGGUUCGUUAAGUUAGAUGUGAAAGCCCCGGGCUUAACCUGGGAACUGCAUUUAAAACUGGCGAACUAGAGUUGAGUAGAGGGGAGUGGAAUUUCAGGUGUAGCGGUGAAAUGCGUAGAGAUCUGAAGGAACACCAGUGGCGAAGGCGACUCCCUGGACUCGAACUGACGCUGAGGUACGAAAGCGUGGGUAGCAAACGGGAUUAGAUACCCCUGUAGUCC
rnacentral:rRNA from 1 species